rnacentral:rRNA from 1 species
UGACCCGUCUUGAAACACGGACCAAGGAGUUUAUCGUGUGCGCAAGUCAUUGGGUGUUGAAAACUCAAAGGCGCAAUGAAAGUAAAGAAUCCGCAAGGAUACGACGUGUGAUCUGAGCAAUCACGAUUGCCUGGAGCAACAUGGCCCCAUUCUGGUCGCUUGCGACGGGGUGGAGGAAGAGCGUACGCGGUGAGACCCGAAAGAUGGUGAACUAUUCCUGAGCAGGAUGAAGCCAGAGGAAACUCUGGUGGAAGUCCGAAGCGAUUCUGACGUGCAAAUCGAUCGUC